AGUGAACGCUGGCGGUAGGCCUAACACAUGCAAGUCGAACGGCAGCACAGUAAGAGCUUGCUCUUACGGGUGGCGAGUGGCGGACGGGUGAGGAAUACAUCGGAAUCUACUUUUUCGUGGGGGAUAACGUAGGGAAACUUACGCUAAUACCGCAUACGACCUACGGGUGAAAGCAGGGGAUCUUCGGACCUUGCGCGAUUGAAUGAGCCGAUGUCGGAUUAGCUAGUUGGCGGGGUAAAGGCCCACCAAGGCGACGAUCCGUAGCUGGUAUGAGAGGAUGAUCAGCCACACUGGAACUGAGACACGGUCCAGACUCCUACGGGAGGCAGCAGUGGGGAAUAUUGGACAAUGGGCGCAAGCCUGAUCCAGCCAUACCGCGUGGGUGAAGAAGGCCUUCGGGUUGUAAAGCCCUUUUGUUGGGAAAGAAAAGCAGCAGGUUAAUACCCCGCUGUUCUGACGGUACCCAAAGAAUAAGCACCGGCCAACUUCGUG
rnacentral:rRNA from 1 species